GACGAACGCUGGCGGCGUGCCUAACACAUGCAAGUCGAACGGACAUUAAUUUUUCGGAAUUGAUGUUAGUGGCGGACGGGUGAGUAACGCGUGAGCAACCUGCCUUUCAGAGGGGGAUAACGUAUGGAAACGUACGCUAAUACCGCAUGACAUAUAUUUGCCGCAUGGCAGAUAUAUCAAAGGAGCAAUCCGCUGAGAGAUGGGCUCGCGUCCGAUUAGAUAGUUGGUGGGGUAACGGCCUACCAAGUCAGCGAUCGGUAGCCGGACUGAGAGGUUGAACGGCCACAUUGGGACUGAGACACGGCCCAGACUCCUACGGGAGGCAGCAGUGGGGGAUAUUGCACAAUGGGCGAAAGCCUGAUGCAGCAACGCCGCGUGAGGGAAGACGGUUUUCGGAUUGUAAACCUCUGUCUUUGGUGACGAAACAAAUGACGGUAGCCAAGGAGGAAGCCACGGCUAACUACGUGCCAGCAGCCGCGUAAACUGUAGUCGU
rnacentral:rRNA from 1 species